rfam:Syntrophomonas wolfei subsp. wolfei str. Goettingen, complete genome.
UUACCCUUUAAACUGGUCCCGAGAGGCCGGCAAGGGAAAGGUUCCAGAGUAUCGACUGAAAGCUUUCCUUGCUGCCCGGCAAGGAAAGCUUUUUUAA